CUCCAUGACGUCUCCCCCAGAUAGCUCCGCCCACCAACUCUUCCUUCUUGGACUGGACAGUUAGUCCAGUACUCCCAACGGUAACCUCCUUCCACCAGCUGCGCUGUCGUCCUGCUCUCCCUGUUUUACCUUCAUUACCCCUCUCUCUGGCCCAGCUAGAAUCUCUGCUCCACAGUAUGUUGGUUAAGGAUGUAAAGAACACCCUUCCCAUCCAUGCUUCUUCCCUUGGAGAACCCUGCAGGGUGUGUACAUGAGAGAGCAUUCAGAACCCAGCAAACCCUCCAACUGGGACACCCAGAUCAAGACUGGAAAAGACCUCUAGAAGUUAAGAACAGCCAGCCUACAGAUCAGGACUUCUCACUGUGUUUGCCCAAGAAUUCUCUCCAGCUCUCCCAGUCUGAAGGAGCUUGGUGCUAGAAAAGAUGGGAAGGAACAAAACCUCAGGGUCCUGCCUGAGCAGACCCCAUGCUUCAUCUCUGUCUUCCAUGUCAACCACUAGGACACUGAAUCAAGAUGAAAAAAACAUCCUCGCCCAUCCAGACAUCUGCAUUUGUGAACCCGAGUAGAAUGGGCACAUCAGAGAAACACACUCAGAAUCCAGGAAACCCUCCAACUGGGACACCCAGACCAAGACAAGCAAAGAUCCCCAGGACACGGCAGCAGUCAGCUUAAAGGGCUGAGGAUCUCGUAUCAGCAAGCCAGGGGAGGGGACAGUCACUGCUUUUCCUCCCCGACUCCACCAGGCUCAGCACAGAUGAGCUCCCCUCUUUGGCAUAUCAGCACCUGUGCAAGCAAGGACAGCCUCCCUGGACAGCUACAGACACAGAGGUGAUGACAUAUAUAAGUGACCAACAGUGGCUGAGAGCCAUUUGAAAUACUCUGGGAACAUGGUCUGAUACCCUCACCUGGCCCACUCGUGAUGUGAAGUUCCUGGUCCUGGCCAGAUGCCCAGGGACAGGUUUGUGAGUGGACAGAGAGGAGGAGCACUCACCUCCACACAGAUGUCACAGCUUUUGCAGUGGAAGGUUCAGGGCAGGCGGUGAAAAUAACAGGUGGGACAUCACGGCAUUUGGUAUAACCUGCCAUUCACUUGUGCCAUGUAGGAAGCCUCAGCGUCCUGCUCGAAGGUGCCUGGCAGGGAAAGAGGUCUGGGACAUGGAAGAGGCCCUUGAAUCACUAUACUCCUCAGGGAAGCCCCAUAGCAUCACUGGGCAACAAGUAGGUGGGGUGGAGGUGGGCAGAGGAAUUUUGGUCCCUGUUGAGUAAGCUGACCAUUCAGAUGGGCGGCAGUCAAAGAGCAGGGGAUGUCCAGCCUCAAAGCUCUAUAUGUUGCUCCCCCCUUUGGAAUAGUAAUCAGUUCUUGGAAUUGUGUGAGAUGGGAAGGAGGAGGAGUGCACUGCAUGGUUUUUGAAGAGCCUGGUGGCCUCUCAUGCCAACCUGCCCAGGCCUCUUUUUUAAAGCAACUGGUAAACCUCCAGGAUUGUUUUUUCACACUUCAGUGGCUUGGGAAAUGAAGUGUCAGGGCCCUAGUAAUGAUGACAGAAUAAGAAUGGAUGCUGAGGUCACAGGUGGGGUCAGCCUUAUAGAAAUAACCCCCGUAGGCACCAGUCCAUUGAGUGCCACCUCCCUCUCCCACGGGUCUGAGGCCUUACCUCUGUGUAAGAUUCCUGGUUCCGGUAAAUUCAUCCAAAUGAGGAUGUACAAAGUGAGGAGGCAGAGAAGAACCAUGGCCACUGGAAGAGCCCACUCUUUUUUGGGCCAAUGAUCAGCAUCUGAAACCAGGGCCAGACUCAGUUUUAAUCUGAGGCAACCUAGAGCCCCAAUGAGGCACUGCUCACCUGAGGUCAGACUCACACACCUUAAGGGCAGAUCUGAAUAUCCAGGCAAGAGACAGACCAAAUUCCCUCCACCACAUGUCACCAGCAUUAUCAGCCUCCCAUGGUUCUCUAAAAGCCUCAGGCUCCCCAUGUUUCUGUGCUUCUAACUAAAUAUCCUCCUUCCCCUCAUGGGCUCCCUCCACUUCCCUGCCUCUGCACUCUCACUGUCUAUUUCCUGACUGUCUCUUGGUGAGAAACCUGACAGCUGGCAUGGAGACUCACGGGAAUGUGAAGAACACUGUGCUCAGAGAGACCAGUGCUGUCACAGUCAAACAAGCCCAAAGGGUUGAGAAUAGCCAGGAUCUGGCUGGGGGUGGGGGUGGGGACAAUAAAUCAUUUGAGAUAGUCAUGCUCUGAUGCAUGCUCUCAAACAAAUGAGAGAAAACUGCUCCUUCUCUUGGGUUGGCACCCAGAGUAGCAUGACACAAGUGUGACAUCAGAGAGGUUCCAGAAUGGGGACUCUGGCUGCUUCCAGUGCCCUCUGAGAGCAAUUCUCCCCUGCCCUCACAUACACACCUGUAGACUGGGACAUCCUGCUUUUCCAAUGGUGGCUUUGUUGGAGCUGGUGAGGAUAGGAUGUGGUUUGUCCCCCAAAUGUUAAUAGGCUGGAGGUUUGGUCCUGGGUGUGGCAGUGUUGAGCUGGUAGCACCUGAAAGAUGUGGGGCCUAGUGGGAGGUAACUGUGCCACUGGGGAUGAGGCCCUUGGAAAGAAGUAAUGAACUUCUUAUUGGCCCCCAUUAGUUCUUGUGAGAGAGGGUUGUUAUAAAAAGUACAAGACUCAUCCUCCCCAGUUUCUGCCAAUGAAGUCUUGACCCCUUGCAUGUCCUCCCACCAUGAUGCCAUUCACCAUGUUGUGAGCACUCUCACCAAAGGUUAGUCACAGGGGCUGCCAAAUGUUGAACUCUGAGCUAAACAAACCUCAUCUCUUAAUAAAGUACCCAUUUUUGGGUAAUUUGUUAGAGCCAGAGAAAGUAGGCUAAUACAGAGACCAUGUAUUAUGGUUCCUGGGGAGAUGGCAUGGGGAGAAGUUUGGUGAUGGUUACCCACUCUCAGGCCCAGUGAUAAUUGAAGCAGACAGUGUUCAUUGAUCAUCCUAUCUCUAUUUCUUUCUUUUUCUUUUAACCGAGUUCCAGUUUGGGGAAGAGGGUACCAAUCUACACAACUAAAUAACUUCCCAGUUUCCUUCAAAAUGAAAAAUAAAAUGUGUUGGGGAUAUGACUCAAUGGAUAAGCAACCCUAGGUUCAAUCCCUGAUGAUGAAUAGGAUGAUUAUGAUGAUGAUGAUACUUGUACAUGUUUAUGGCAUACAAAUUUUGAACCAUGUAUAUACUGAAGAAUGGCUGAGUCAAGCUAUUGAAAAUAUACACUCUUUCAUAUACUUAUUUGUGGUGAGAACCCUUAAAAUCUACUGUCUCAGUCAUUUUCAAGUGUAUAGAACAUUACUAACUGUAGUCAUUCUGUUGUAUGUUGUUAUUAAUUCCCAGGCAUGUAAUCAUAGAGCCAGGAAGAAUAUUUUUAGUCAAGGGCCCAAGGGUUCCAGUUAAAGGCUGAGGGAUAGAGAGAAUAUGUGUAUUAUUUGAAACACUCUCCAACCAUAGAGUGCAUUUCUGCCAGUAAGGAAGCUAUACAACUGUAGCAGCAUUUCGUAUAGAAAUACUAGCACUUGGAUUAAUUUUUGUUGGAAAUGUUUGUGAUAUGGCUUUUAAGAGA